rnacentral:rRNA from 1 species
AUUGAACGCUGGCGGCAUGCCUUACACAUGCAAGUCGAACGGCAGCGGGGGAGAAGCUUGCUUUUCCUGCCGGCGAGUGGCGAACGGGUGAGUAAUACAUCGGAACGUGCCCUGUAGUGGGGGAUAACUAGUCGAAAGAUUAGCUAAUACCGCAUACGACCUGAGGGUGAAAGUGGGGGACCGCAAGGCCUCCUGCUAUAGGAGCGGCCGAUGUCUGAUUAGCUAGUUGGUGGGGUAAAGGCCGUCCAAGGCGACGAUCAGUAGCUGGUCUGAGGGGACGAUCAGCCACACUGGGACUGAGACACGGCCCAGACUCCUACGGGAGGUAGCAGUGGGGAAUUUUGGACAAUGGGCGAAAGCCUGAUUCAGCAAUGCCGCGUGUGUGAAGAAGGCCUUCGGGUUGUAAAGCACUUUUGUCCGGAAAGAAAUGGCUCUGGUUAAUACCUGGGGUCGAUGACGGUACCGGAAGAAUAAGGACCGGCUAACUACGUGCCAGCAGCCGCGGUAA